GAAACACUUGCUUCCCAUUGAGGACAUGUCAGAUCCCCACAUCGCCCCAAAUCGCCCACUGGAUAAGCAAAGCUGGUUGAGCUGUGCUCAGCAAGCAAGCGGGUGCGGGGGAGACAGACAGCGUAGCAUCGGGGGUCCUGGUCCUGCCCGGAGCCUGGGCGAUCUGCUUAGGAGAUGCCGGGACAUCAGGAAGCCUGACUCUUCUUACAACCUUUCCUGCAACAAUUGUGAUUAUCCUGCCACCAAAGAGAAGAGGAAGCUAGUUUUAAUGGCCAAUAAGGGACAACGUUGGUGUUACCUGUCCUGGCUUGGGAAAAGGCUGGCCCUCUCCAAUCCUGACAGCCUGCGUGGCCCAAUGCUGGCCACCACCCGGCCGUGGGUUACCCACUCGGCUCGCUUUUCAAGUCUGCCUAUCGGAAAGUGGGUAGAAAUUUCUCUGCUUCUUGCUGCCCUCGUCUGAAAAACCCUGCUCCCGUGUUGGGGUCUCAGGAAACCGUAGAUUCCGGCUUCAUGAAGUCUGCAGGUUGCGGAUGUGGAGGGAGAGGAAACAGAUGCCCGAAGAUCUUCUAGAAAUGUACCAUGGUCUUGAUUUAGGACCUUGGCUUCUAAACAAGCAGCACUACAUUUAUU
rnacentral:lncRNA from 1 species